rnacentral:lncRNA from 1 species
UAUUAUUUGAAAUUUGAAUUUAGAGCAUAAAGCAGUGAUUUAGAUAAAUUAUACAUGUUGGACUUGAAUUUGACUUAGGAGAAAACUAUAGGUUCUACAUUAUCAUUUUCAGAAAACUACUAGAUUUAGCUUUAGAAGCUAUAGUUUGUUUGUAUCGCCGCAAUUUGUAGGCGGUGGAUACCCAGAAUAGUGUAGAAUGAAUUUAUGCUCGUGCUGGAAUGUCGAGCUUAUUUUUACAGUAAUAUAUAGACUGUUCCGGACUGUCGGGUGCCGUUGUGGUUGAUGGUGGACCGAGAUUGCUAUUUUUGCAUGGGAUGGUGCCGAGGGCACGUAGAUUAUGAUUACUAGACCAGUUAAACCUUCUUGUUUGACUAUAGCCUGUGAGAGCCUGAUUGAGCUCGGCGGAGAUACGCUUGCAUACUCGGUUGGGUAACGCCCACGAGUGCCACUCCAGAGUCAGGCUUUGUGCUUUUGCGUUGUUGUCGGUUUGUCAUGGUUGGACUUCCUCUCCACUGACGACCCAACAUGGUGGUAGUUAGUGUAGCUUCGGCAGACGUGACGGGUGUGUUCACAGUCCCUAGUGAGAUUGGGUUAGAGAUUGUAUUUUUUUCAGAUAGUUAGUAUUGGAUCGUGAUAGUAUAGUGUCAUAUAGCUGUAGAAUUAUUCCAGCUUUCCUUACUAUCCUUGAGUAUACAUCUGUAGACUUAGUGGGUGAGCCGUUGAGGUCGGUAGCGGUACCCACUGAGGGCUACUUCUUUUUGCAGUAGUUCUCACACCCAGUUGUUGACCCUUUUUGCAGAGCCUUCUUCUUCGGCUGCUGCUACUGCUAAUCUUGAUCGUGGAAAGGGAGUCACGAGUUAGAUCCCUUCCAAUUUUACUGCUGAUCUAGAGAUAUAUCAGCUACAAGUAGUGUUGGUUUUUGGUUCUUAUAUAUGCUGAUGUUAAUUUCUCGCUGGAGCGAGUGCUUUUGUAUUGGAGACUAUGUAUGUAUGUUGAGCCAAUAUUAUUUAUAUGUGUUUUUCUGGUUAACAGCUCUAUACUACUGGUUGUAGUAUUAUAUGUAUACAGGUACAGGUACAGGUACAGCUAUCGUUUCGUAUACAGGAAAAACUCCUAUAUAUACGGCGGCGGGUCUAUUAGCGUGCCAGGGAAAACAAGUAAUCCGGGGCGUGA